rnacentral:rRNA from 1 species
CGGCAAUGGCGGGUGCUAAUAAUGCAGUCGAGCGGACAGAUGGGAGCUUGCUCCCUGAUGUUAGCGGCGGACGGGUGAGUAACACGUGGGUAACCUGCCUGUAAGACUGGGAUAACUCCGGGAAACCGGGGCUAAUACCGGAUGGUUGUUUGAACCGCAUGGUUCAAACAUAAAAGGUGGCUUCGGCUACCACUUACAGAUGGACCCGCGGCGCAUUAGCUAGUUGGUGAGGUAACGGCUCACCAAGGCAACGAUGCGUAGCCGACCUGAGAGGGUGAUCGGCCACACUGGGACUGAGACACGGCCCAGACUCCUACGGGAGGCAGCAGUAGGGAAUCUUCCGCAAUGGACGAAAGUCUGACGGAGCAACGCCGCGUGAGUGAUGAAGGUUUUCGGAUCGUAAAGCUCUGUUGUUAGGGAAGAACAAGUACCGUUCGAAUAGGGCGGUACCUUGACGGUACCUAACCAGAAAGCCACGGCUAACUACGUGCCAGCAGCCGCGGUAAUACGUAGGUGGCAAGCGUUGUCCGGAAUUAUUGGGCGUAAAGGGCUCGCAGGCGGUUUCUUAAGUCUGAUGUGAAAGCCCCCGGCUCAACCGGGGAGGGUCAUUGGAAACUGGGGAACUUGAGUGCAGAAGAGGAGAGUGGAAUUCCACGUGUAGCGGUGAAAUGCGUAGAGAUGUGGAGGAACACCAGUGGCGAAGGCGACUCUCUGGUCUGUAACUGACGCUGAGGAGCGAAAGCGUGGGGAGCGAACAGGAUUAGAUACCCUGGUAGUCCACGCCGUAAACGAUGAGUGCUAAGUGUUAGGGGGUUUCCGCCCCUUAGUGCUGCAGCUAACGCAUUAAGCACUCCGCCUGGGGAGUACGGUCGCAAGACUGAAACUCAAAGGAAUUGACGGGGGCCCGCACAAGCGGUGGAGCAUGUGGUUUAAUUCGAAGCAACGCGAAGAACCUUACCAGGUCUUGACAUCCUCUGACAAUCCUAGAGAUAGGACGUCCCCUUCGGGGGCAGAGUGACAGGUGGUGCAUGGGUGGUCGUCAGCUCGUGUCGUGAGAUGUUGGGUUAAGUCCCGCACGAGCGCACCCUUGAUCUUAGUUGCCAGCAUUCAGUGGGCACUCUAAGGUGACUGCCGGUGACAAACGAAGAGGUUGGGGGAUGACGUCAAAUCAUCAUGCCCCUAUGACCUGGGCUACCACACGGUGCUUACAAUG